CCAUGCAGUCGAACGAUGAACCACUUCGGUGGGGAUUAGUGGCGAACGGGUGAGUAACACGUGGGCAAUCUGCCCUUCACUCUGGGACAAGCCCUGGAAACGGGGUCUAAUACCGGAUACCACUACCGCAGGCAUCUGUGGUGGUUGAAAGCUCCGGCGGUGAAGGAUGAGCCCGCGGCCUAUCAGCUUGUUGGUGAGGUAAUGGCUCACCAAGGCGACGACGGGUAGCCGGCCUGAGAGGGCGACCGGCCACACUGGGACUGAGACACGGCCCAGACUCCUACGGGAGGCAGCAGUGGGGAAUAUUGCACAAUGGGCGAAAGCCUGAUGCAGCGACGCCGCGUGAGGGAUGACGGCCUUCGGGUUGUAAACCUCUUUCAGCAGGGAAGAAGCGAAAGUGACGGUACCUGCAGAAGAAGCGCCGGCUAACUACGUGCCAGCAGCCGCGGUAAUACGUAGGGCGCAAGCGUUGUCCGGAAUUAUUGGGCGUAAAGAGCUCGUAGGCGGCUUGUCACGUCGGGUGUGAAAGCCCGGGGCUUAACCCCGGGUCUGCAUUCGAUACGGGCUAGCUAGAGUGUGGUAGGGGAGAUCGGAAUUCCUGGUGUAGCGGUGAAAUGCGCAGAUAUCAGGAGGAACACCGGUGGCGAAGGCGGAUCUCUGGGCCAUUACUGACGCUGAGGAGCGAAAGCGUGGGGAGCGAAC
rnacentral:rRNA from 1 species